AUUGAAGUGUGAUGCAUUUAUCUAGAAUAUUCUAGGUGAGAAUAAGCUAUGUAUAUUCUAGAGAAUUCACCACUAGCUAGAUUAAUCUAGAGUAUUCUAAAUAAUACUAGGACAAGUAUGAGUAUUCUAGAGAUUAGAUAUUUUCUAUAUAGUAUCUAGAAAAUUCCUUAAGAGGAUGCUAGUAGAGAAUUCUAGAUACAAGUUAGUGUAGUGAGAUCUAGAGAGAUCUUCCCACACCUAUAAAUAGAGCUCUUGUGAGCCAUUUGAAACCAAUCUCUACAAUCUCAAACAUCUUAAAAACAUCACUCUAUCUAAUAAUAUCUAAGUUCUUUGGAGACAAGAGCUCCACUCUAAAAUCAUUCUCUCUAUCUUCUACACACACUACACUCACAAUAUUCUCUACACCACUUCACUACAAUCACUCACCACACUCAAACCACUAUAUAAUCACCUCCAUUUUCUAACAAGUGGCAUCAGAGCUUGUUCGAUCAUAAGCGGGCGUUAUGGCGUCGUCAAGUCUCUCCAUCACGACUCCAAUAUUCAAUGGAGAAAACUAUGACUAUUGGAGUGUUCGUAUGAAGACUUGCCUUGAAUCCCAUGAUCUUUGGGAUGUCAUUGAAGAAGGAAUCACCAUGCCGGGAGAAGAUAUCGACAAGAUAUCCUCAUUCGAGGUACGUAAGAAAUUAAAGCAACAAAAUGCUAAAGCUCUUUAUCUUCUCCAACAAUCUGUUAGUGAUUCUAUCAUGGCAAGAAUUAUUCGAGCCACUACUGCAAAAGAAGCUUGGGAUAUCCUUAAGGAGGAGUUCCAAGGAAAUGUUAAAGUUCGAACCAUUAAACUGCAAAGUUUAAGGCGAGAACUAGAGAAUCUUAAAAUGAAAGAUUCAGAAGCCGCAAAAGAUUAUUUCUCAAGAAUAAUGGAAAUAAUCAAUCAAAUGCGGUCAUACGGAGAUAACGUCUCCGAUGAAAGGAUCAUACAGAAUGUCUUAAUCAGCCUUACCGAGAAGUAUGAUCCAGUAGUAGCGGCGAUUGAAGAAUCAAAAGAUUUAUCAAAAAUGUCCGUCGCGGAGCUGAUGGGUUCCUUGGAAGCACACGAGCAACGAUUGAGUAGGCGACAUGAAAGUUCACUUGUGAGUGCCUUUCAGUCCAAACUCAACGUUAGAGGCAAUAAGUCAAGGAGCGGCGGAAAUUUUAAAAGCAAUCACAAGGAAGGAAGCUCCAGCAACAAGGAGAGCAAGGCAAAUUUUCCACCAUGCGGAAUUUGCAAGAAGACAAAUCACUUGGAGAAGGAUUGCUAUCAUCGAGGAAAGCCACAGUGCAAAAACUGCAAAAGGUUCGGCAUGUGGAAAAAGAUUGCAGAGAUAGAAGAAAUCAUCAAGCCAACUAUUCAGAAAAUCAAAAUGAGAAGGAGUACAUGUUCUAUGCAUGUCACUCGGCAACGGAGCACGAGAAGAAGAAUGGUACAUCGAUAGCGGAUGCAGCAACCACAUGACAUCCAACGAGACCAUCUUCCGUGAGUUAGAUACUUCAGUCAAGACGAAGGUGAAGAUGGGCAAUGGAGAACUGGUGGAGACGAAAGGGAAAGGUACAAUUGCCAUAGAAACUAAUAAAGGUACGCGAUUUAUUAGAAAUGUUCUCCUAGUACCUCGUCUUGCACAAAGUCUACUAAGUGUUGGCCAAAUGAUGGAAAAUGGAUAUGCCCUCCACUUUGAGAAAGAUUCUUGUCGAAUUUACGACAAGAAAAAUAACCAAGAUAUUGCAGUAGUAAAAAUGGGAAAAAAUAGAAACUUUCCCAUUCAAUGGCAAUAUCCACAAAAGGCAAUGGUGGCUCAACUCGACGAUACGAGUCUAUGGCACCGGAGAUUUGGGCAUUUCAACCUAAAUGCCUUGAGGCUACUUCAUCAGAAAAAUAUGAUGAGAGAUAUGCCUCUUCUAAAUGAAAGAGAAGGUGUAUGCGAAGGAUGCAUGAUCGGAAAGCAACACAGACAACCAUUUCCAACGGAGAAAACAUGGCGAGCCAAGGAGAUACUAGAGCUUGUCCACACCGACGUUUGCGGUCCAAUGCGCACACCUUCAGUAAACCAAAACAGGUACUUCAUACUCUUUAUUGAUGACUACUCUAGAAUGACUUGGGUAUAUUUUCUCCAAGAAAAAUCAGAAGUCUUUAGAAUCUUCAAGAGAUUCAAGAACUUUGUGGAGAACCAAAGUGGUCGCAAAAUAAAGAAACUGAGAAGCGAUCGAGGUACCGAAUACAACUCAAAAGAGUUCGACAAGUUCUGUGAAGAUGAAGGUGUGGAGCAUCAACUAACGGUGGCCUACACUCCACAACAAAACGGCGUGUCAGAAAGAAAGAAUCGAACAGUCAUGGAGAUGGCGAGAUCCAUGCUGGCGGAGAAAGGAUUACCAAAGAAGUUUUGGGCAGAGGCAGUGUAUACAUCAGUCUACCUACUCAACCGAUGUCCAACAAAGGCCGUGCUAAACAAGACGCCGAUCGAAGCUUGGUCAGGACAAAAGCCUUCAGCCAAACAUUUGAGGGUCUUUGGAAGUAUCUGCUACAUCCACAUUCCCUCAGUAAAAAGACACAAACUGGAGGACAAGACGGAGAAGGGAAUCUUCCUCGGCUACAGCUCUAAAUCCAAGGGUUAUAGAAUCUACAAUCUUGAGACCAAGAAGCUGGUGACAAGUCGAGACGUGGAAUUUGACGAACAAGCCUCCUGGAAUUGGGAGACAGAAAGUGUUGAAAGGCAGACAACAACUACACUCCUAAAAGAAGUCACAGAACAUGGAGAACAAGAUCAACAAAGCCCACCAAGGUCCUCUUCAGAAGCCAAUACCUCAAGUGGAUCCGACUCAGACUCCUCACCAGACUUUCCACCUUUUCGGGUAAGAACUCUAGCAGAUUUAUAUGAAUCCACUGAUUUAUAUGAGAUAUGCAACUUUUGUUCUUUGGAGCCAAAUAGCUAUGCAGAAGCAUCCAAAGAGAAAGUUUGGAUUAAAGCAAUGGAGGAGGAGAUAAAAAUGAUAGAAAAGAUGAUACUUGGGAGUUGGUGGAUCUUCCAAGUGACAAGGAAGUCAUUGGAGUCAAAUGGGUGUUCAAGACAAAGCUGAAUCCUGAUGGUUCGAUCCAGAAGCAUAAGGCAAGACUUGUCGCAAAAGAAGAUAUGCUCAAGAAGUUCAAGAUGCAAGACUGCAAGCCAGUGGUUACACCUCUCAUUCCAAAUGAGAAGUUGAAGAAAGAAGAUGGGUCAAAAUCGACGGAUUCUACAAACUAUCGAAGUUUGAUUGGGAGUCUACUAUAUUUGACGGCAACGAGGCCUGACAUCAAGUAUGCAACAAGCCUUCUAUCCAGAUUCAUGGAAAGUCCGAAGGAGACCCACUAUGGAGCAGCAAAGAGACUUCUCAGAUACCUGCAAGGUACGCUCAACUAUGGUAUCUGGUACAAACCAAAGUCUGACUCACAGAUCAGUGGAUAUAGCGAUAGCGAUUGGGCUGGAUCUCAAGAUGACAUGAAAAACACAUCAGGCUAUGCUUUCAAGCUUGGCUCAGGAAUUUUUUCUUGGGGAUCAAAGAAGCAAGACUCAGUUGCACUAUCAACAGCAGAAGCUGAGUAUGUUGCAGCAGCCGAAACAGCAUGUCAAGCUAUAUGGCUUAGAAGAAUACUAGCGGAUAUGGGUGAACCGCAAGACUCAUCGACAGAGAUCUACUGCGAUAACAAGUCAGCUAUAGCAAUGGCUAAGAAUCCAGUUCAGCACAAUCGCACCAAACACAUCGACAUCAAGUAUCACUUCUUGAGAGAUGUUGAAGCAAAGAAACUUAUUGAGAUGAAGUAUUGUCCAACAGAAGAGCAGUUGGCGGACAUCUUCACAAAAGCACUACCAAGGCACAGAUUCCAGUUUCUACGAAGAAUGCUUGGAGUAACCAAUAAAUGCAUCAAGGAGGAGUAUUGAAGUGUGAUGCAUUUAUCUAGAAUAUUCUAGGUGAGAAUAAGCUAUGUAUAUUCUAGAGAAUUCACCACUAGCUAGAUCAAUCUAGAGUAUUCUAAAUAAUACUAGGACAAGUAUGAGUAUUCUAGAGAAUAGAUAUUUUUCAUAUAGUAUCUAGAGAAUUCCUUAAGUAGAUGUUAGUAGAAAAUUCUAGAUACAAGCUUAAUGUAGUGGGAUCUAGAGAGAUCUUCCCACACCUAUAAAUAGAGCUCUUGUGAGCCAUUUGUAACCAAUCUCACAUAAUCUCAA
rnacentral:lncRNA from 1 species